UUACUGGUGGCGCAUGCGCACAAGUGACCCUUGCUUGCGCUCCUUUUCUCCUCCCAGCUGCGGCUUCAAUCGAUGUGCGGAGGUUCGAUGCAGCAGCCUGUUCGACGUAGCGGCCCUCGGUCCAGGUUGCUGCCGGCCCCUCCGCAGGCUCCGCUCCCGCUGCCUUUGCCGCCGCAGUCGCCCGCCGACGUCGUCGGGCCCCCGGCAGCCAUUUUGAGCGCAGAUCGACCCAGGCCGAAAGACGGGCUGACUUCUGGAAGACAGCCCUUACUCACAAUGUAUAGACCAAAAGUAAGCCUGAAAGACAGGCAACAACUUUACAGACUCAUUAUUAGUCAGUUGCUUUAUGAUGGAUAUAUCAACAUUGCUAACGGUCUGAUAAAUGAGGUAAAACCACAGUCUGUAUGUGCACCCUCUGAACAACUAUUGCAUCUUAUUAAAGUGGGAAUGGAAAAUGAUGAUAGUGCAGUUCAGUAUGCAAUUGGGCGCUCUGAUACAGUAGCUCCUGGCACAGGGAUUGACCUGGAAUUUGAUGCAGAUGUGCAGACCAUGUCCCCAGAAGCUUCUGAAUAUGAGACCUGUUAUGUAACAUCUCACAAAGGACCAUGUCGUGUAGCUACAUACAGCAGAGAUGGACAGUUAAUAGCUACAGGAUCAGCUGAUGCUUCAAUCAAAAUUCUUGAUACAGAGAGAAUGUUAGCAAAGAGUGCUAUGCCAAUUGAGGUCAUGAUGAAUGAAACAGCUCAGCAGAACAUGGAGAACCACCCUGUUAUUAGAACUCUGUAUGAUCACGUGGAUGAGGUGACAUGUUUAGCUUUCCAUCCAACAGAACAAAUCCUUGCCUCUGGUUCAAGGGAUUACACACUUAAAUUGUUUGACUACUCAAAACCAUCUGCCAAAAGAGCCUUCAAAUAUAUCCAGGAAGCAGAAAUGCUGCGUUCUAUCUCUUUCCAUCCUUCUGGAGACUUCAUUCUUGUCGGUACCCAGCAUCCUACCCUGCGACUGUAUGAUGUCAAUACUUUCCAGUGCUUUGUAUCUUGCAAUCCUCAAGAUCAGCACACUGAUGCCAUAUGCUCAGUUAAUUACAAUCCAAGUGCUAACAUGUAUGUAACGGGCAGCAAAGACGGUUGCAUCAAAUUGUGGGAUGGCGUUUCAAAUCGUUGUAUCACUACUUUUGAAAAAGCGCACGAUGGGGCUGAAGUCUGUUCUGCCAUUUUCUCCAAGAAUUCAAAGUAUAUUCUGUCUAGUGGAAAAGACUCUGUAGCUAAACUGUGGGAGAUCUCUACAGGGAGAACACUAGUAAAAUAUACAGGUGAGUAGAUGUUGACCAAUAUAAUAGAUAUGUAUAUAUUUCUCUCCCAUCCUCCAUUACAUCUAGUUAAAUGUAAUGGCCUUCCUGGAUGUAUCGUGAGGAAAAAUGUAAAUUGAAAGUUCUGUACAAAGUAUGCAAUAGUGGCAUAUAAAUCCAGACGUUUUCCCUUGAAAUUUUUAACAAAUAGUUCAUUAUUGGUCAUAAGGAAAUAACCUCAUGAUCAGUGACCUAGGAGAAAAUCAGGUAAACUCUGCAGUCAUGUCCAAAAUCAUACGUGUGUUUGCACAACUCUUACUUAAAAUCACUUGGGUGUAUUUAAGAGAAAUCCUUGGGGUUCACACAAUGAUUCGUUUCCUACUAAUACUUCUUAAUAUACGAAUGAUGUUGCUUCUUUUUUUUAUCUUGCUGAGCUGGAAACAAACUACAUCAACAUGUAAGAUUGCAAUUUUCUUCUCAAUGCUUUCUCUAAUACUUCCAGUGUGUGAGAUGCUACGGAAAUUGUAUGAAUUAACUUCUCUGGAAUAAGUCCUUUUCUGUAGAGGCAUAUUUUGUAAUACAAAUUUUCAAGUUUCUAACAUGCUAAACCAGCAGGGUGCAGUCAAGUCUUGGCAUACCUCCGCUGUCAGAGACACUCUGCCUUUGAAUGUCAAUUGCUGGAAGCAAGUGAGGAGAGAGCUGUUGCACUAGGGUCUUGCUUGCAGGCUUCCCAUGGGCAUCUGGUUGGCCACAGUGAGAACAGAAUACUGUGCUAGAUGGCCUGAUCUAGCAGGGCUCUUUCUCCAGUUUUAAAUAAUGUAUUGUUCUUCCUUUACAAAGAAACAAGGGCACUGGGGGGGGGGCAUAGUAUGCAUCCUCUGCUGUAGUUGGAAAGCAGUACAUUAGCUUGAUUUAAUGUUUGUGGUUGGUUAUUUUCUCACUAGAUGAACUCUACCAAUCCAACUAGUGCACUACUGGGUUUCUUUCUGAGAGAAGAUUUUCUGUUGCUCUUGUAUGCUGUGAGCAACAGCUGUUUUGGUUCAUGUGAAUGGCACAUGUUUUAAUAAUGCUUUCAGUCAUUUUAUGUUAUUAGUGUCUUUGAGAUUUUUGGAAUACAGUGGUACCUCUACUUACGAAUGGAGCUCCGUCCGCCAUCUUGGAUGCGGUUUAGAUAGGAUUUUUUCUACUUAUGAAUUUUUAGAUAGGGUUGCUUCUACUUACGAAUUUUUUCUCCCAAUGCAUUCCUAUGGGAUUUGACUUACAAUUUUUUUCGACUUACUAAUGUGCGUUCGGAACGCAUUAAAUUCAUAAGUAGAGGUACCACUGUAAAUAUUUUUUCUACAUAGGCAUCAUUUAUUAGAAUCUAAUGCAUGGGUCUUUAAAUAUAUCUCUAUAUAUCAAAACAUCAGGCUUUGCAAUAACUUUCGCCAUGUUUAACAUUUCUAUCCCUAUUAGGAGCAUUAGUGUCAGUAAGUUUUAAGGCUCUUGAGAAUACUUGUCUCAAAAUUGUUGUACCAGCUAAUGAACAUAUAUAGUUCGUAUAGAUACUGAGAACUAAAGGCUUGCUACAUUACACUGGAGUAAGAGUUUGGCAUUUAAGACAAGGGUACUAACCUGUUAAACCACAGAGCCUAGGGCUUGUCGGUCAGAAGGUCGGCAGUUCAAAUCCCCGUGACGGGGUGAGCUCCCGUUGUUCGGCCCCUGCUCCUGCCAACCUAGCAGUUCGAAAGCACAAAGUGCAAGUAGAUAAAUAGGUACCGCUCCGGCGGGAAGGUAAACGGCGUUUCCGUGCGUUGCUCUGAGAUGGGUAUUUUGAAACGGCAAGUCAUCUCUGAUAUGACAUCUCUGACAUUGCAAAUUAUGAUCUGUUCCUGGGAUCCUCAUGUUUCCAUAAACAAAGUUAAAACAUCUGUGACAGUAAAAUUGGAGUAUCCUUUUCCUAUAGAACUAUCUAAUAUAUGGCUUCCAUUAACUUCCAUCCACCAAAAUUGUAGAGACAGAUUUACCAUUAAAUAUUUGUAGUCAUGUCAAAGAGAGCGCUCAACCUAAACCCCAAGAAAGGUGGGGGGGGGGAGAUCUACUCAUUUCAUUUGAAAACUUUUCCCUCAUCCCUAAAAGACAAGAUGAAUAAUCUUUCAGAUAUAACUUUUUUCAUUCCCAACUGGGAAUAAAUUUAUUUUAUAUCAUAAAUAAUGUAUUUUAGGUUUGAACAGAUUCCCUUUCUGCCAACGUGGAAAUAAAGGUGGAUAGCUGAGAUUUAGAAGACAGGAAAUGUGGUACAGGUGUGAUCUGCAAUACAAUAUUUUAGCAUUGGACUGGGUGUUUUUGAGGAGGAAGUCCCUGCCUAGGAUUUAAGGUUUUUGUACUUCUGCAAACUUUGAGGUUUUCUGAGCCUGCUGAUAAUCUGUGUGUGUAUGUGGUGCCAUUUUGGCUACAUAAAUACCAUCACUUGGAGAAUUGAGAUCUCUUUAAAUAUAUGUGAUAAUAGAUCACAAACAAGUCCUUGCCCUCUUGGAUGUAAAGUUUCUUUAGUGGCACUUUUCAAGACAGAGACAGCUGUUUGGAUUAAAGAUACUUCAGUGUCUGCUAAGAUCCCAGCAAACCUUUUGUAAUAUCCUGAUACCAGUCUUGCUACUCGUAAGUUGACUAAUGGUCUCUCUUACUUUCUUUACUCUAACUAGUUGGUUCAACCUAUUCUUUUCCUCAUCUGAAAUUUUAGGAAUCUGGACGUUAGAAAGAAAGAGCUCUUUUUCUUUGGGAGCUGGUUUGAGUGGACGCCAAGUUCAUAGAACACAGGCUGUCUUCAACCACACAGAAGACUAUGUGCUGCUUCCUGAUGAAAGGACCAUUAGCCUCUGCUGCUGGGAUUCACGAACAGCUGAACGA